rnacentral:rRNA from 1 species
GCCCUGCUUUUGUGGGGUGCUCGAGUGGCGAACGGGUGAGUAACACGUGAGUAACCUGCCCUUGACUUUGGGAUAACUUCAGGAAACUGGGGCUAAUACCGGAUAGGAGCUCCUGCUGCAUGGUGGGGGUUGGAAAGUUUCGGCGGUUGGGGAUGGACUCGCGGCUUAUCAGCUUGUUGGUGGGGUAGUGGCUUACCAAGGCUUUGACGGGUAGCCGGCCUGAGAGGGUGACCGGCCACAUUGGGACUGAGAUACGGCCCAGACUCCUACGGGAGGCAGCAGUGGGGAAUAUUGCACAAUGGGCGGAAGCCUGAUGCAGCAACGCCGCGUGCGGGAUGACGGCCUUCGGGUUGUAAACCGCUUUCGCCUGUGACGAAGCGUGAGUGACGGUAAUGGGUAAAGAAGCACCGGCUAACUACGUGCCAGCAGCCGCGGUGAUACGUAGGGUGCGAGCGUUGUUCGGAUUUAUUGGGCGUAAAGGGCUCGUAGGUGGUUGAUCGCGUCGGAAGUGUAAUCUUGGGGCUUAACCCUGAGCGUGCUUUCGAUACGGGUUGACUUGAGGAAGGUAGGGGAGAAUGGAAUUCCUGGUGGAGCGGUGGAAUGCGCAGAUAUCAGGAGGAACAMCAGUGGCGAAGGCGGUUCUCUGGGCCUUUCCUGACGCUGAGGAGCGAAAGCGUGGGGAGCGAACAGGCUUAGAUACCCUGGUAGUCCACGCUGUAAACGGUGGGUACUAGGUGUGGGGUCCAUUCCACGGGUUCCGUGCCGUAGCUAACGCUUUAAGUACCCCGCCUGGGGAGUAC